CAGCCGCCGCGGUAAUGCAGAGGGUGCGAGCGUUAAUCGGAUUUACUGGGCGUAAAGCGUGCGUAGGCGGCUUUUUAAGUCGGAUGUGAAAUCCCUGAGCUUAACUUAGGAAUUGCAUUCGAUACUGGGAAGCUAGAGUAUGGGAGAGGAUGGUAGAAUUCCAGGUGUAGCGGUGAAAUGCGUAGAGAUCUGGAGGAAUACCGAUGGCGAAGGCAGCCAUCUGGCCUAAUACUGACGCUGAGGUACGAAAGCAUGGGGAGCAAACAGGAUUAGAUACCCCCGUAGUCCCUGUCUCUUAUAC
rnacentral:rRNA from 1 species